UAGCGGUGAAAUGCGUAGAUAUCGGGAAGAACACCAGUGGCGAAGGGCGCUCUGCUGGGCCAUUACUGACGCUCAUGGACGAAAGCCAGGGGAGCGAAAGGGAUUAGAUACCCCUGUAGUCCUGGCCGUAAACGAUGAACACUAGGUGUCGGGGGAAUCGACCCCUUUCGGUGUCGUAGCUAACGCGUUAAGUGUUCCGCCUGGGGAGUACGCACGCAAGUGUGAAACUCAAAGGAAUUGACGGGGGCCCGCACAAGCGGUGGAGUAUGUGGUUUAAUUCGAUGCAACGCGAAGAACCUUACCAGGGUUUGACAUCCUGCGAACCUCUUAGAAAUUUGAGGGUGCCUUCGGGAAUGCAGUGACAGGUGGUGCAUGGCUGUCGUCAGCUCGUGUCGUGAGAUGUUGGGUUAAGUCCCGCAACGAGCGCAACCCACGUUUUUAGUUGCCAGCAUUUAGUUGGGCACUCUAGAAAGACCGCCGGUGAUAAACCGGAGGAAGGUGUGGAUGACGUCAAGUCAUCAUGCCCCUUACACCCUGGGCUACACACGUACUACAAUGCUACGGACAAAGGGCAGCAAACUCGCGAGAGCUAGCAAAUCCCAUAAACCGUGGCUCAGUUCAGAUCGUAGGCUGCAACUCGCCUACGUGAAGUAGGAAUCGCUAGUAAUCGCAGGUCAGCAUACUGCGGUGAAUACGUUCCCGGGCCUUGUACACACCGCCCGUCACACCAUGGAAGUUGGCCAUGCCCGAAGUCGUUACUCCAACCCUUGUGGAGGAGGACGCCGAAGGUGGGGCUAAUGACUGG
rnacentral:rRNA from 1 species